rnacentral:lncRNA from 1 species
CCAUUUGAACUGUUCAUGGGCUCGUUGGAUUUCAUUUAUCAUCCUGGACCUCAUUUUGGAUUUAUUUUAGAUCGAAUCUCGAGAUAUCUUUUUUGACAAUCUUCAUAUGGACUCGAUAUUCGACCUCUUCCUAACUCUAAGAGCUUUUGGAUCUUCUCGUCCCCAUACCGUGGGGCAAACGCCUGUUGAUCAUGGAUGGA